AACGAACGCUGGCGGCAUGCCUAACACAUGCAAGUCGAACGAGACCUUCGGGUCUAGUGGCUCACGGGUGCGUAGCGCGUGGGAACCUGCCCUUAGGUUCGGAAUAACUCCCCGAAAGGGGUGCUAAUACCGGAUAAUGUCUUCGGACCAAAGAUUUAUCGCCUUUGGAUGGGCCCGCGUUGGAUUAGCUUGUUGGUAGGGUAAAAGCCUACCAAGGCGACGAUCCAUAGCUGGUCUGAGAGGCUGAGCAGCCACACUGGGACUGAGACACGGCCCAGACUCCUACGGGAAGCAGCAGUGGGGAAUAUUGGACAAUGGGCGAAAGCAUGAUCCAGCAAUGCCGCGUGAGUGAUGAAGGCCUUAGAGUUGAAAAGCUCUUUUACCCGGGAUGAUAAUGACAGUACCGGGAGAAUAAGCUCCGGCUAACUCCGUG
rnacentral:rRNA from 1 species